ensembl:lncRNA
GGCGCCGUGGUCCGGGCUGGUGUAGUCGUGGGUGGCGGGGUCUCGGUUGUGUGGCUCCAGCUCCUGGCUGUCCUUCGCAGCACGGCGGAACAGGCCUGCGUCGUGCCUGGCCGGAGUCAGCCCUGCAGUCUCACAACCCUGACCAGCUGUGGAAGUUUUGAUUUUUCUCGGGUUCCCCCCACGACAUCUAAAGUCCCUCUUUUCCCUUAAGGUUGUGUGGCUGAACACCGACUCUGUUUGAUCAGCUCCACCUUGGGCUCACAGUGCUACUGCUUCCCUGUUCUGGGUGGCUGAACUUUAGCCCGCUCACAAGGAAUAAACACCAGCCAGGUCGGAAAAUAUUAUUCACUGUCUCAGCCACCCAACACAGGCCAAGCCAGGAGAUCUGGAUUGUUCAGGCAACACUUAAUCAGCACCGUCCCUUGUUCCACUGUGACCUUGCAGUGACUUAAACCCACAAACAAAUAUUAUCUGUGGGGUUGAAGUGACAACAGAAGCCCUCUUCUCCACGCUUCCCUUCACUUUAGAAGAUGGAUUAACUCCUUCCUCAGAUGAGCCCCCGUCUCAGGCCCACGGCCACCCGAUUCUCUCUUCUCCUGGAUACGACACCUUACCAGUUUCUCCUUCCUUCUCCUGACCUUCUGGGCGAGGGAAUGGAAAACCCCAUCUCCCAAAUGACAAGUAUCUACAGAGCAAGAAUCAAAG